AGAGUUUGAUCAUGGCUCAGGAUGAACGCUAGCUACAGGCUUAACACAUGCAAGUCGAGGGAACGACAUCGAAGCUUGCUUUUGAUGGGCGUCGACCGGCGCACGGGUGAGUAACGCGUAUCCAACCUGCCCACCACUUGGGGAGUAACCUUGCGAAAGUAAGACUAAUACCCAAUGAUAUCUCUAGAAGACAUCUGAAAGAGAUUAAAGAUUCAUCGGUGAUGGAUGGGGGAUGCGUCUGAUUAGCUUGUUGGCGGGGUAACGGCCCACCAAGGCAACGAUCAGUAGGGGUUCUGAGAGGAAGGUCCCCCACAUUGGAACUGAGACACGGUCCAAACUCCUACGGGAAGCAGCA
rnacentral:rRNA from 1 species